ACUGCUCAGUAACACGUGGAUAACCUGCCCUUGGGUCCGGCAUAACUCCGGGAAACUGGAGAUAAUUCCGGAUAACGCAUAUAUGCUGGAAUGCUUUAUGCGUAAAAUGGAUUCGUCUGCCCAAGGAUGGGUCUGCGGCCUAUCAGGUAGUAGUGGGUGUAAUGUACCUACUAGCCUACGACGGGUACGGGUUGUGAGAGCAAGAGCCCGGAGAUGGAUUCUGAGACAUGAAUCCAGGCCCUACGGGGCGCAGCAGGCGCGAAAACUUUACAAUGCGGGAAACCGUGAUAAGGGGACACCGAGUGCCAGCAUCAUAUGCUGGCUGUCCAGGUGUGUAAAAUACACCUGUUAGCAAGGGCCGGGCAAGACCGGUGCCAGCCGCCGCGGUAACACCGGCGGCCCGAGUGGUGAUCGUGAUUAUUGGGUCUAAAGGGUCCGUAGCCAGUUUGGUCAGUCCUCCGGGAAAUCUGAUAGCUUAACUAUUAGGCUUUCGGAGGAUACUGCCAGACUUGGAACCGGGAGAGGUAAGAGGUACUACAGGGGUAGGAGUGAAAUCUUGUAAUCCCUGUGGGACCACCUGUGGCGAAGGCGUCUUACCAGAACGGGUUCGACGGUGAGGGACGAAAGCUGGGGGCACGAACCGGAUUAGAUACCCGGGUAGUCCCAGCCGUAAACGAUGCUCGCUAGGUGUCAGGCAUGGCGCGACCGUGUCUGGUGCCGCAGGGAAGCCGUGAAGCGAGCCACCUGGGAAGUACGGCCGCAAGGCUGAAACUUAAAGGAAUUGGCGGGGGAGCAC
rnacentral:rRNA from 1 species